CAGGUACGGCUCUGGCAUUUGCCAUGUGACCAGUGCCUUAUGGCAGAGCCGAGGUUUCCUGACCUCCAGAGGAAAGCCAGAAGCGAAUGCAGGAAGUGAACACCCUCCAGCGAGACGUGAUCAACUGCCAAGCAGUACACUUAGAUGGUCAAGCCAGCGGUCAUGGACGGUUCUCCAGGGGAGUGACCUGCAGACAAUGGAACUGACGCCAUGGAGAAGCAACAACCCCACACUCCAAUUGCUGCUCUAUGUCUCAGACGGUCCUCGACUGGAUGGACGAUCUGAACUCUCCAGCAGUGCCUGAAGCAGCUACAUAAGGCCAGAGUCCUCCACCAGCCAGCCCCAACCCACUGCCACCUGCACCCCUAUGUGCCCGGAAAUUUCGUGUUGAUCCUGCACCACCGGAGGACCACGCCUACGACGCCGAAGUGGGAUAGCCUGUUCCAGGUGCUCCUGACCACACAAACUACAGCGAAGGUGGCAGAGAGGAAUGCCUGGAUCCUCCACUCACACCUUAAACGAGCAUUCAGGUGUGAUUCACUCUGUGCUAGAGAGCCUUCGGCAGGUGAUUUAGGAAACCCACGCAACCCGCAUUGAGCGUGGGGUGGUGGGACCCUACUUUCUGGUUUUCCUGUCUGAAUCUACAGGGUUGGGGGCAGACAGUCCUUAGAUAGU